AGUGAACGCUGGCGGUAGGCCUAACACAUGCAAGUCGAACGGCAGCACAGUAAGAGCUUGCUCUUACGGGUGGCGAGUGGCGGACGGGUGAGGAAUACAUCAGAAUCUACUUUUUCGUGGGGGAUAACGUAGGGAAACUUACGCUAAUACCGCAUACGACCUACGGGUGAAAGCAGGGGAUCUUCGGACCUUGCGCGAUUGAAUGAGCCGAUGUCGGAUUAGCUAGUUGGCGGGGUAAAGGCCCACCAAGGCGACGAUCCGUAGCUGGUCUGAGAGGAUGAUCAGCCACACUGGAACUGAGACACGGUCCAGACUCCUACGGGAGGCAGCAGUGGGGAAUAUUGGACAAUGGGCGCAAGCCUGAUCCAGCCAUACCGCGUGGGUGAAGAAGGCCUUCGGGUUGUAAAGCCCUUUUGUUGGGAAAGAAAAGCAGCAGGUUAAGACCCCGCUGUUCUGACGGUACCCAAAGAAUAAGCACCGGCUAACUUCGU
rnacentral:rRNA from 1 species